CACCUCCCAAGGAAUUGGAUCUCUGAAGACAAUGUCUUAAGCAAUGCGACCACACCUCCAACUUCAAGAUCAUCAGCAGAAAGUAGAAAUACAGUUUAUGACCCAACAUAUGAAUCUAUGGGAUUGCCGAUAGAUCCUCAUUUACGCAUGUUCCUUGCAAGGCGCGAUCCAACAGGUGAUGAAAUGUGAAAAGUGAGAAGCUUUAUCACAAGUUAUGUUCUUGAACUUCUUCCAGCUUAAGAAGUAAUUUCUUAAGUUUUAAAUAAUUUGGGAAUAACUUCCCAUAACAAUUAAUAUUAUUGUUCCUGGG